UGCAAGUCGUACGCGUUGGCCCAACUGAUUUGAAGUGCUUGCACGGAUCUGACGUUGGUUUACCAACGAGUGGCGGACGGGUGAGUAACACGUAGGUAACCUGCCCAGAAGCGGGGGACAACACUUGGAAACAGGUGCUAAUACCGCAUAACAAUUCAAAUCGCAUGAUUUGAAUUUAAAAGAUGGUUUCGGCUAUCACUUCUGGAUGGACCUGCGGCGCAUUAGCUUGUUGGUGGGGUAACGGCCUACCAAGGCAGUGAUGCGUAGCCGAGUUGAGAGACUGGUCGGCCACAAUGGGACUGAGACACGGCCCAUACUCCUACGGGAGGCAGCAGUAGGGAAUCUUCCACAAUGGGCGCAAGCCUGAUGGAGCAACACCGCGUGAGUGAAGAAGGUUUUCGGAUCGUAAAGCUCUGUUGUUGAAGAAGAACGUGCAUGAGAGUAACUGUUCAUGCAGUGACGGUAUUCAACCAGAAAGUCACGGCUAACUACGUGCCAGCAGCCGCGGUAAUACGUAGGUGGCAAGCGUUAUCCGGAUUUAUUGGGCGUAAAGAGAGUGCAGGCGGUUUCUUAAGUCUGAUGUGAAAGCCUUCGGCUCAACCGAAGAAGUGCAUCGGAAACUGGGAAACUUGAGUACAGAAGAGGGCAGUGGAACUCCAUGUGUAGCGGUGGAAUGCGUAGAUAUAUGGAAGAACACCAGUGGCGAAGGCGGCUGCCUGGUCUGUAACUGACGCCGAGACUCGAAAGCAUGGGUAGCGAACAGGAUUAGAUACCCUGGUAGUCCAUGCCGUAAACGAUGAGUGCUAGGUGUUGGAGGGUUUCCGCCCUUCAGUGCCGGAGCUAACGCAUUAAGCACUCCGCCUGGGGAGUACGACCGCAAGGUUGAAACUCAAAGGAAUUGACGGGGGCCCGCACAAGCGGUGGAGCAUGUGGUUUAAUUCGAAGCUACGCGAAGAACCUUACCAGGUCUUGACAUCUUGCGCCAACCCUAGAGAUAGGGCGUUUCCUUCGGGAACGCAAUGACAGGUGGUGCAUGGUCGUCGUCAGCUCGUGUCGUGAGAUGUUGGGUUAAGUCCCGCAACGAGCGCAACCCUUGUUACUAGUUGCCAGCAUUAAGUUGGGCACUCUAGUGAGACUGCCGGUGACAAACCGGAGGAAGGUGGGGACGACGUCAGAUCAUCAUGCCCCUUAUGACCUGGGCUACACACGUGCUACAAUGGACGGUACAACGAGCAGCGAACUCGCGAGGGCAAGCAAAUCUCUUAAAACCGUUCUCAGUUCGGAUUGCAGGCUGCAACUCGCCUGCAUGAAGUCGGAAUCGCUAGUAAUCGCGGAUCAGCAUGCCGCGGUGAAUACGUUCCCGGGCCUUGUACACACCGCCCGUCACACCAUGAGAGCUUGUAACACCCAAAGUCGGUGGGGUAACCUUUGGAGCC
rnacentral:rRNA from 1 species